AUCAUAAAUAUUGUGAUAUAUCUCAGCAUUUUGAUCUAUAAAGAGUUAAAUAUAUGAAAAGGUUUUCAAAUACGGAUAUCAAAGAAAUAAGAGGUUUAAUGUGUGGAUGUAAAUGGAUUUGUCAAGUUUAUAAAAAAAUGCAAAUGUUUUUGAUUUUAUGUGGAAAAUUAAACCACACUGUGGAAAGAAAUGACAAAAUACAUAUAAUAUUUUACCAAUUUGUUUUCAGAUUAGCACAAUUACAUUACAAAUUAUUUAAUUUUUAAUUAAACAGAAUGCUGUGUUUUUAAUUAGGUUUAAUAUUUUUUCUAACAUAAAUGAGUCUUUAUUCAUAAAAAUUCAAAUUCAUUAUAUAUAUAUAUAUAUAUAUAUAUAUAUAUAUAUAUAUAUAUAUAUAUAUAUAUAUUUAUAUUAGGAAGGAUAUAUACAGCUAGUGAUGACUUCACCACUUGUUAUAUAGCGCAUCACUGUGGACAAACUAUGAACAACAACUGUAAAGAUAUUCUUUCUGUGAUUAAAUAUAUGUGGACAUUUACCACAGAUAAAGCAGAUGAAUUCAAAUAAAGACCCUUUAAAAUGUAAAAAAAAAAAAAAAAAAAAUGUAAUACCAAAAUAUAAGCAAUUACCUGUAAAUUUAAAACUACUGGUAUUUCAUUGUAUAAUGACAAAAAGGGAAAAUUCUGUUAACAAACAAACAAACAAACAAAAACCUUACCUGUAAAGUUACACUUGGCCCUGUGGCCACAUUAUCUAAAGUUUAUUUAUAAAACACAUAUUUACAAUAAUAAUUCAAAGUGCUUUCUACAAAGAUGGUUUAAAAAAUAAUAACCACCACAUAAAAAUCAAAGAAUAAAAAUGAUUAAAAAUCUAUUUACCAAGUUACAGUUAAAAAUAAAUCAAGAAGGAUACAUAUAGUACAUAGAUAAAGUGCAAUAAGUCGGACAUACAGUGGCAGAGUGUGUUUUGAGUCUGGAUUUGAAUGUAAUACUGUUGGAGCACAUCUGAUCUCUUCAGGAAGCUGCUUCCAGCUGCGGCUGGUGUAACAGCUAAAACAGACUCUCCUUGUUUAGAGCGAACCCUUGGUAUUUCUAACUGAUGUGAUCCUAUUGAUCUGAGUGGUCUGUUAGGUUUAUAUUCAGUGAGCAUAUCUGCAGUGAGGUCCAAUAGGCCAUUGAGUGAUUUAUAAACAAGUAAAAGUACAUUAAAAUAGGCUGCUGUUUUACUCUUUCUCUGGCAGCAGUGUUCUGUAUGAGCUGCAGCUGUCUCAUGGUCUUUUUGGGAAGGCCGGUGAGGAGUCCAUUACAAUAUUGACUAUGGGAGGUGGGCUACGCACCAAACAGUCCACCCUUCUGGGUAGUAAAUGAUUAUAUGUAAUCUAGAUAUCCUACACCUUAAAAAAGAAAUCCAGUUGUUUUACAAAUAAUAAUAAUAGUAAUAGUAAUCCUGGCAGCUGCAAUUGCCAGAAUAACUCUGUAAACAAAUAGUAAAAAUGUAAACAUAUUUACAGACCAAUCUGUCAAUUUUACAGUAUAAAUCUGUAAUUUACAAACAAGAAAACUGCAAUUUAAUCCAGUAAUUCCAACAACGCACACUGCUGCUAAAAUCUAUUUUGUAUCUUUAACAUACUGUAUACUGACAAACACUAUAAUAAUGCAGGUGGUAAAAGAGGAAGUCACAUGAAGAAUCAUGAGUUCAUCACAAGUAGCUUUUCCACAAGCUGAAUUAGAAGGUGCACAGUGUCCUUCACACAAUCAGGUGAAGGACACUUUUUACAAAAAAAAACAAAAAAAAAACUUUUUUUUUUUUUUACAGUGUAAUCAGAUUCCAAAAAUUAAGUACUUAUGUUAUAUACUUACACAUACUUACAUAUAAUACAGUAUAUUAAUUUUUAGAUACUUAUAAUCAGAAUACAGUUAUGUUUUUAUUACAUGAUUAUUUCUUUUUUUAUCUUUUAAAUUUUCUGUUCUCAAAAGGUUUAUGAAAUUGCACACUCAGACCGGGCACUAGUCAGGCGACUAAUUACAUGGAAAAUAGAGCAACUGUACAGCAUAAACACAGAAUAUUUAUUUUUAGUUAGUGUUUUAUUUUGAUUGUUUUUAUUUUCAAAUUAUUUAUUAAUUAUAAUUUAAUUUUUUAUGAUUAAACAAAUUUUCUUUCUCUUCUAAUUUUUUUCAGUAUGGUACAUUAUACUAUUCAAAUCAAUGUUAUAAACAAGAUAGGUAAGUAUUCAAAAAGUAGUGAGAUUAUAUUACCUAAAAUGUGUAAUGUAAAAGAUUACUUUAACUACUGAAACUCAGGUCUGACUCCAAAAUCACACCAAGAUUCCUGACUUGAUUUUUAGUUGUUUGACCAACAGAGUAAAGGUAUGCGUUCACUUUGAGAACUUCAUCUUUGUUUCCAAAUGCAGUGACUUCAGUUUUGUCUUGUUUAACUGAAAGAAGUUUUGGGUCAUCCAACUGUUAACUUCAUCAAUGCACUGGCACAGAGAGUCAAUGGUGCUGUACUUUCGAUAGGGCUAAGUAGAUCUGGGUGUCAUCUACAUACACUCUAAAUAAUGCUGGGUUGUUUCAACCCAUGUUCAGUUCAAAUAUGGACAAACACAACUGUUUUUUUACACUUAAAUUUUUUUUUUUUUUUUGUCAUGCAACUUCUGGGCUGUUUGUCUUGUUGUGUAAAAUGUUU